GUCAGGACACAGCAUGGCCAUGAGGGUCCCCACUCAGCUCCUAGGGCUUCUGCUGCUCUGCCUCCCAGGUUCCAUAUGUGACAUCAUGAUGAUGCAGUCUCCAUCCUCCCCAUCUAAAUCUCAAGGAGAAAUAGUCACCAUCACUUCUAGGGCAAGUCAAGUGUUAAUAAUUGGUUAUUCUGCUAUCAACAGAAGCCAAGAAAUAAUGACUGGAAGUGGUCAAUAUAAGUGCAGUGGAGGAGAAGAUGAGCUGAAUGGCUGGGACCCCAAGUAUGCUGACUCCACAGUCACUCAGCUGCUUCCAGAGAGUGUGGGACAGCAAAGGGCUGUGUGGCCCUUGAACUCCAGGCCUGGUGGCAGAGUCCCGACUCAUGGCUCUCACAUCUCCCUCGAAACUGUGCCCCACCACCUCAUGUAAUCUCAGCCCUGUACAGUAUGAAAAAAACAUGUACAGUUGUCACAAAUAAACAAUCCAGGAAACAA